UUCCAGACUCCUACGGGAGGCAGCAGUGGGGAAUAUUGCACAAUGGGGGAAACCCUGAUGCAGCGACGCCGCGUGAGCGAAGAAGUACCUCGGUAUGUAAAGCUCUAUCAGCAGGGAAGAAGAUGACGGUACCUGACCAAGAAGCUCCGGCUAAAUACGUGCCAGCAGCCGCGGUAAUACGGAGGGUGCGAGCGUUAAUCGGAAUUACUGGGCGUAAAGCGCUCGUAGGCGGUAUGUCAAGUCAAGGGUGAAAUCCCCGCGCUCAACGUGGGAACUGCCUUUGAAACUGGCAAACUGGAGUGUGUGAGAGGAUAGUGGAAUUCCAGGUGUAGGAGUGAAAUGCGUAGAUAUUAGGAGGAACACCAGUGGCGAAGGCGGCCUGCUGGACGAUGACUGACGCUGAGGCUCGAAAGCGUGGGGAGCAAACAGGAUUAGAUACCCUCGUAG
rnacentral:rRNA from 1 species